GGGGCAGCCGGGAGGCGGGAGAAGCGAGCUGCCCCGGCGGCCUCUCACCUGUGUCGUCCCCUCUCGUCUGGGCGGCCGCGCUGCUGUUGUGGUAGGACUGGAGUUGCUGAGACACAAGGAAAACCCACUCCUUUGGAGGAGCAUGGCCUUUUUCUAUAUUGCUUCCCACCGCUGCCAGCGAGCUUCUUGAACCCUGGUCCUUGGACACCCUCAGCAAGAAGAGCAUGUGGAUGGGCUACCUACCCCUGAGAAAAGAGGACCCCCAGUUGCAGUUUCUAACUAGAUGGCCUUCUUCAUUCCAAGUGAUGGCUGCCAUCAGGGUCAGAUUAAAGACAGACUGACUGGACAGCUGCUUGGAGGACUAACCAAGAGGGGCACCGAAAUGUCCCCAGUGUGCCAACACAUCCGUGGAAACUGAAGGAGACGGAAAAGAACACCGGCACUUCUCUUAGGGACAAUUCUGUGUGGGGCUGGAAGGAAUGGUUUGACAAAUUCCUUAGGGGUGGAAGGUAGGGAGUAAUAAGAAGAUUGAGGAGAAUGGGGGUGUUUUACUGAGGGGUCCUGUUUUUCCUACUGGGAUGUAAACACUGGGAGCCCCGGCCGGAUUGUGUGUAACCAUGGAUGGUAAGCAGACUGCCCUAGUCAUCCCCCUGCUUGCCUUUUCCUCAUGCAGAGCUCAGUGUGUGCUCUAGUGCCAAGAUCCGGCAAGUAGUGGUUUGAAGGAGACACCAAUUUAUGGCCUGCACACCUCUGCUCUGUACUCUAGGUUGAAGACAGAGUCAUAAACUCUUUAUCUUUCAGUUCUAGGAUGUUAGCCUUGGGUGUGUUUUCAUUGCCUUGGGGGCGAGGGUUGUUAAUAGAGAAGGUCAAGUCAACUGGAGCUUAAACUCUUUGCCAGUGGGUCAGCUGAUCAGACCCUGUGCUGGGUUAAUUAGAUCAAUGGAGACAGCAGGUGGAAUUUGGAUCUUUAAAAAUAUUUGACUAAUGGGUGAUAUUACUGGCUAUUUGUAAAUGAGGACAUCGAGGAAUGUUCUUGGAAUCAUGAACUAUGGAACUGAUGGUCAAGUUCAGUAAUUCGACAAAUAGUUAAAUACCAGCCGGACACUGUGAAGACCUAGCAGCAAGAUAGACAUGCUACUUCCCUCAUGGAGCUUACAUCUUCAUUUUCUCUGCUUGACAUGAAGAACAGUGGCCACAGCAAACAAGUGACCACAAAGAUAUUUCCAAUCCCAGGAUUCCAAUUAAUGAAGUGAUUCCUAUGUCCUUAAUCAUGCCUAGUAGCCAUGCUAUUAUAAGUCUGUGUUCUAUAAAUGCUCUGUGAACCAGUGUGACUGUCUCCCUAGCAAGCUGUAUAAGGUCCCAUGGUGUGAGGGAAAGGGGCAAGUGUCAGGAAGGUCCCUCGGGAGGGAGAUAUUAAGUGACUUGGGUCAGGAAAUAAGAAGGGGUAGAAUUCAGGGACAAGCCAUUGCUUUUAUUCUAUGUAGGAAAACUGCAGUGUGAGAAAUGCUGGGCUGGAAAAUGAGAGACCCGGGUCUUAGUCUUUAUUCUGUUACUAACAAGGUUUGUGGCUGUGGGCGAGUCACAUCACCUUCCAGUUGGAGGCUUCUUGGGUGACUCCAAGACCCCUUCUAGCUCCAAACAUGUUAACCCCAGGCUCCAGACUACUGGACAGCUGGCCAGUGUCUGCCUUUCCUAUUCCUAAGCUGUCAGGUCAACUAGAUCCUCAAUAGUCACUUGACUAUCUUUUCUUAUUUUUGGAGGGGUGUUUAUCAACCUUGCAGGAUACAAUGAGUCUGCCUUUCUCCUUUGGAGUUGAGAAAAUUCUAGAAGCAUACCCUGUAGAGCCCAUGGGGGUGCAUUCCCUCCUUUUUAUCAUUUUUUCUAUCCUUGCUUUUCCUCUUCCCCUUUCCUUCCUCCCAUUUCUACAGAGCAUCUACCAUGUGCUGUGUACCAGGUGUGUGAUAGGUUCAGAGGUCCGAGGUAAACCUGACAUUUCCCCAUACUCCAGAAGCUUUCAUAGGAGAGGGGACAAAACCCUUCUUCCUUUCAUUUUGCUGGCUUUUCUUUUGGUGAGAAUCAGCCAUGUCCCAGGGGACAGUGCUGGUGGUGCUCCCGAGGUAACGAGCUGCAGGCAGGUGUCCCACUCCGCACAAGUGAUUUUGAGGUGCCUUGGUUCACACUGAGGCCCAGGGUCACCAUGAAGAGAUCUGUGUCCAGAUAUAAGGAAGAGACAACCUGUUGCUUCUUGGGACACAACUAUAGAGGGACAGUCUUCUACACAGUGACAGCCACCCCCUACAGUGACAGCCACUGACAGGGGUGUCCAACCCAUGGCCCAUGGGCCACAUGCAGCCCAGAUGGCUGUGAAUGUGGCCCAACACAAAAUCUUAAAUUUACUUAAAACCUUUUUUUUUGCUCAUUAGUUUUUGUUAGUGUUUGUGUAUUUAAUGUGUGGCCCAAGAGAACUCUUCUUCUUCCAUUGUGGCCCAGAGACACUAAAAGUUUGGACACCCCUGGAUCUCUUAUAACCCAUCUCUGCCCAGGUAGGGAGAAUCUAGGGAAUCACUUCCUAAACCUAAAAAGAAAAAAACACCCUCUCAA